rnacentral:tRNA from 1 species
GGGGCCAUAGCCCAACUGGCAGAGGCACACGGUUUAGGUCCGUGACAGUGUGGGUUCGACUCCCACUGGCCCCA